rnacentral:rRNA from 1 species
AGCAGCCGCGGUAAUUCCAGCUCCAAUAGCGUAUAUUAAAGUUGUUGCAGUUAAAAAGCUCGUAGUUGAAUUUCGGGGUUAGUAGGUUGGUCAUGCCUCUGGUAUGUACUGGUCUCACUGAUUCCUCCUUCCUGAUGAGCUGUAAUGCCAUUAAUUUGGUGUUGCAGGGAAUCUGGACUGUUACUUUGAAAAAUUAGAGUGUUUAAAGCAGGCUAACGCUUGAAUACAUUAGCAUGGAAUAAUGAAAUAGGACGUUCGAUCCUAUUUUGUUGGUUUCUAGGAUUGACGUAAUGAUUAAUAGGGAUAGUUGGGGCAUUAGUAUUCAAUUGUCAGAGGUGAAAUUCUUGGAUUUAUUGAAGACUAACUACU